AGGUGCCUCGUUAGCGCAGUAGGUAG
rnacentral:piRNA from 3 species